rnacentral:rRNA from 1 species
ACGCUGGCGGCAGGCCUAACACAUGCAAGUCGAGCGGUAGAGAGAAGCUUGCUUCUCUUGAGAGCGGCGGACGGGUGAGUAAUGCCUAGGAAUCUGCCUGGUAGUGGGGGAUAACGUCCGGAAACGGACGCUAAUACCGCAUACGUCCUACGGGAGAAAGCAGGGGACCUUCGGGCCUUGCGCUAUCAGAUGAGCCUAGGUCGGAUUAGCUAGUUGGUGGGGUAAUGGCUCACCAAGGCGACGAUCCGUAACUGGUCUGAGAGGAUGAUCAGUCACACUGGAACUGAGACACGGUCCAGACUCCUACGGGAGGCAGCAGUGGGGAAUAUUGGACAAUGGGCGAAAGCCUGAUCCAGCCAUGCCGCGUGUGUGAAGAAGGUCUUCGGAUUGUAAAGCACUUUAAGUUGGGAGGAAGGGCAGUUACCUAAUACGUGAUUGUUUUGACGUUACCGACAGAAUAAGCACCGGCUAACUCUGUGCCAGCAGCCGCGGUAAUACAGAGGGUGCAAGCGUUAAUCGGAAUUACUGGGCGUAAAGCGCGCGUAGGUGGUUCGUUAAGUUGGAUGUGAAAUCCCCGGGCUCAACCUGGGAACUGCAUUCAAAACUGACGAGCUAGAGUAUGGUAGAGGGGUGGUGGAAUUUCCUGUGUAGCGGUGAAAUGCGUAGAUAUAGGAAGGAACACCAGUGGCGAAGGCGACCACCUGGACUGAUACUGACACUGAGGUGCGAAGCGUGGGGAGCAAACAGGAUUA